rnacentral:pre_miRNA from 1 species
AAAAUACUCCCUCCGCCCGGAAAUACUUGUCAUCAAAAUGGAUAAAAGGGGAUGUAUCUAGAUGUAUUUUAGUUCUAGAUACAUCUUUUUUUAUCCAUUUUGAUGACAAGUAUUUUCGGACGGAGGGAGUAUGAU